rnacentral:tRNA from 4 species
UCUUCAGUCGUAUAGUGGUUAGUAUUUCCGCUUGUCAUCGUCUACACGACGGCAAUUUCGCGGGAGACCUGGGUUCAAUUCCCAGCUGGAGAG